GCAAGCGCUCCAGCAUGGCUGCUAGAUGGGCCUCACGGUUCUCUUUGUUGGCCUCCAUCUUCUGCGCCAGCUUCUCCUUGGCCAUUUUGAUGAAGUUGUUGUUCUCCUCAAUGGCCUUCUGGAUGACCUCCCGCUCGUGCUCCCGCUUCUCUGCCAGGUGCUUCAGCAGCUCAGCCUCUUGGUACUUCCUCCUCUCCUCUGC
rnacentral:lncRNA from 1 species